GCCCCUGUCCUUAGCAUAUUCUCAACAUUUCUCCAGUUUUCACUGGUGAUGUUGAGGAAGGCGUUCAGGAGACGGCAGCAUGUACCUCAGAGCAGUGUUUUUCAAAAGGUAAAGAUUUUCAAACAGUGAAACUACAAAUUUUAAGUCCAUUUGGUAUACAGCAGAGUGAUACAUUCUCUUCCAUCAUAGGUUAUUACAGAAUACUGAGUGGAGUUCCCUGUGCUAUACAACUAUUAGAGCUGGAUUAUUAAUCAAAGAUUUGUAUUUGCUUCAGUGGCUGAUAUAUACCACAUAGCCCAAGGAUCAGCUCAGCUAAGACAAGGCUUCGUCAUGACAGGACUGCUGCGCAGAGGUCUGUCUGAGACUUUCCUUCCACAAAGGAAGGGGUCAGCCAGCCAAGAGAUAAAGUCCUUUCCAACACAGAUAGCAUCACAUGCCCUGCUGGCUCUUGGAACUACAUACAUAGAGCCGAAGCCUUGCUCUCAAUUCUUCGGGAACCUGUCUGGGCCAUCUUCUCGCUCGUCCCCGGCUGAUGGGGGCAGCAGGGGCUGCACAGGCCUCAGGCUCCUCGUGAUCAUCGUAACACGUUCUGUGUUCCAGCUCAUGAUGCCCAGGGAAUGUGCUGGCCUCCAUGCUGCCUGUGUCACGGGACCUUUCCUAAUCUGGAACAUCCUCGCCAAAGAAACCCCAACGCUCGGCUCAUCCUACACCUAUUUUUCUCUUAUUUGUGCUGGUGCUUCAGUUGGUUGUGCUUCCACAGUGGGCUCUGGCUCCAGAGGAAGAGACGGUGGCUUUGUGAGCUGGGAUGUUCCUCCGACACCUAGGAACAAAACAAACAGCUUGAAUUCUCAGUUCCAUGGUUCCAGAAGAAAUCAAUAUUUUCACUGUCAAGUUUCAAGAAGAAAUCCCAUAUUUUCUUUUUUUUUAAUUAGUUUCU